CCCGUCCUAUUCGGGCUCCCGCCUCUGUUCAGGACACUGGGUCCCCUAGGAGCCUCCCCAGGCUUAAUGAUUGUCCAGAAGGCGGCUAUAAAGGGAGCCUGGGAGGCUGGGUGGAGGAGGGAGCAGAAAAAACCCAACUCAGCAGAUCUGGGAACUGUGAGAGCGGCAAGCAGGAACUGUGGUCAGAGGCUGUGCGUCUUGGCUGGUAGGGCCUGCUCUUUUCUACCAUGGCAGCCCAGGGCUAUGGCUAUUAUCGCACUGUGAUCUUCUCAGCCAUGUUUGGGGGCUACAGCCUGUAUUACUUCAAUCGCAAGACCUUCUCCUUUGUCAUGCCAUCAUUGGUGGAAGAGAUCCCUUUGGACAAGGAUGAUUUGGGGUUCAUCACCAGCAGCCAGUCGGCAGCUUAUGCUAUCAGCAAGUUUGUCAGUGGGGUGCUGUCUGACCAGAUGAGUGCUCGCUGGCUCUUCUCUUCUGGGCUGCUCCUGGUUGGCCUGGUCAACAUAUUCUUUUCCUGGAGCUCCACAGUACCUGUCUUUGCUGCCCUCUGGUUCCUUAAUGGCCUGGCCCAGGGGCUGGGCUGGCCCCCAUGUGGGAAGGUCCUGCGGAAGUGGUUUGAGCCAUCUCAGUUUGGCACUUGGUGGGCCAUCCUGUCAACCAGCAUGAACCUGGCUGGAGGGCUGGGCCCUAUCCUGGCAACCAUCCUUGCCCAGAGCUACAGCUGGCGCAGCACGCUGGCCCUGUCUGGGGCACUGUGUGUGGUUGUCUCCUUCCUCUGUCUCCUGCUCAUCCACAAUGAACCUGCUGAUGUUGGACUCCGCAACCUGGACCCCAUGCCCUCUAAGGGCAAGAAGGGCUCCUUGAAGGAGGAGAGCACCCUACAGGAGCUGCUGCUGUCCCCUUACCUGUGGGUGCUCUCCACUGGUUACCUUGUGGUGUUUGGAGUAAAGACCUGCUGUACUGACUGGGGCCAGUUCUUCCUUAUCCAGGAGAAAGGACAGUCAGCCCUUGUAGGUAGCUCCUACAUGAGUGCCCUGGAAGUUGGGGGCCUUGUAGGCAGCAUCGCAGCUGGCUACCUGUCAGACCGGGCCAUGGCAAAGGCGGGACUGUCCAACUACGGGAACCCUCGCCAUGGCCUGUUGCUGUUCAUGAUGGCUGGCAUGACAGUGUCCAUGUACCUCUUCCGGGUAACAGUGACCAGUGACUCCCCCAAGCUCUGGAUCCUGGUAUUGGGAGCUGUAUUUGGUUUCUCCUCGUAUGGCCCCAUUGCCCUGUUUGGAGUCAUAGCCAACGAGAGUGCCCCUCCCAACUUGUGUGGCACCUCCCACGCCAUUGUGGGACUCAUGGCCAAUGUGGGCGGCUUUCUGGCUGGGCUGCCCUUCAGCACCAUUGCCAAGCACUACAGUUGGAGCACAGCCUUCUGGGUGGCUGAAGUGAUUUGUGCGGCCAGCACAGCUGCCUUCUUCCUCCUACGAAACAUCCGCACCAAGAUGGGCCGAGUGUCCAAGAAGGCUGAGUGAAGAGAGUCCAGGUUCCGGAGCACCAUCCCACGGUGGCCUUCCCCCUGCACGCUCUGCGGGGAGAAAAGGAGGGGCCUGCCUGGCUAGCCCUGAACCUUUCACUUUCCAUUUCUGCGCCUUUUCUCUCACCCGGGUGGCGCUGGAAGUUAUCAGUGGCUAGUGAGGUCCCAGCUCCCUGAUCCUAUGCUCUAUUUAAAAGAUAACCUUUGGCCUUAGACUCCGUUAGCUCCUAUUUCCUGCCUUCAGACAAACAGGAAACUUCUGCAGUCAGGAAGGCUCCUGUACCCUUCUUCUUUUCCUAGGCCCUGUCCUGCCCGCAUCCUACCCCAUCCCCACCUGAAGUGAGGCUAUCCCUGCAGCUGCAGGGCACUAAGGACCCUUGACUUCUGCUGGGCCCUAAGUCCUCGCAGCAGCGGGCGACUGCUGUUGCCAAUACCUCAGACUCCAGGGAAAGAGAGGAGGCCAUCAUUCUCACUGUACCACUAGGCGCAGCUGGAUAUAGGUGGGAAGAAAAGGUGACUU
rnacentral:sRNA from 1 species